AGCGAACGCUGGCGGCAGGCUUAACACAUGCAAGUCGAACGGGCAUAGCAAUAUGUCAGUGGCAGACGGGUGAGUAACGCGUGGGAACGUACCUUUUGGUUCGGAACAACACAGGGAAACUUGUGCUAAUACCGGAUAAGCCCUUACGGGGAAAGAUUUAUCGCCGAAAGAUCGGCCCGCGUCUGAUUAGCUAGUUGGUAGGGUAAUGGCCUACCAAGGCGACGAUCAGUAGCUGGUCUGAGAGGAUGAUCAGCCACAUUGGGACUGAGACACGGCCCAAACUCCUACGGGAGGCAGCAGCGGGGAAUAUUGGACAAUGGGCGAAAGCCUGAUCCAGCCAUGCCGCGUGAGUGAUGAAGGCCCUAGGGUUGUAAAGCUCUUUUGUGCGGGAAGAUAAUGACGGUACCGCAAGAAUAAGCCCCGGCUAACUUCGUG
rnacentral:rRNA from 1 species